rnacentral:rRNA from 1 species
GAUGAACGCUGGCGGCAGGCUUAACACAUGCAAGUCGAGCGGAGAUGAGGUGCUUGCACCUUAUCUUAGCGGCGGACGGGUGAGUAAUGCUUAGGAAUCUGCCUAUUAGUGGGGGACAACAUUCCGAAAGGAAUGCUAAUACCGCAUACGCCCUACGGGGGAAAGCAGGGGAUCUUCGGACCUUGCGCUAAUAGAUGAGCCUAAGUCGGAUUAGCUAGUUGGUGGGGUAAAGGCCUACCAAGGCGACGAUCUGUAGCGGGUCUGAGAGGAUGAUCCGCCACGCUGGGACUGAAACACGGCCCAGACUCCUACGGGAGGCAGCAGUGGGGAAUAUUGGACAAUGGGCGGAAGCCUGAUCCAGCCAUGCCGCGUGUGUGAAGAAGGCCUUUUGGUUGUAAAGCACUUUAAGCGAGAAGGAGGCUACCUGGAUUAAUACUCUAGGAUAGUGGACGUUACUCGCAGAAUAAGCACCGGCUAACUCUGUGCCAGCCGCCGCAGUAAGAC